UACAGAGGUCUCAAGCGUUGUUCGGAUUCAUUGGGCGUAAAGGGUGCGUAGGCGGCGCGGUAAGUCGGGUGUGAAAUCUCGGAGCUUAACUCCGAAACUGCAUUCGAUACUGCCGUGCUUGAGGACUGGAGAGGAGACUGGAAUUUACGGUGUAGCGGUGAAAUGCGUAGAUAUCGUAAGGAAGACCAGUGGCGAAGGCGGCUCACUGGACCGGUUCUGACGCUGAGGCGCGAAAGCGUGGGGAGCAAACGGGG
rnacentral:rRNA from 1 species